rnacentral:rRNA from 1 species
CGCGUAGGCGGUCAGCACAAGUCAGUUGUGAAAUCUCCGGGCUUAACUCGGAAAGGUCAACUGAUACUGUGCGACUAGAGUGCGGAAGGGGCAACUGGAAUUCUCGGUGUAGCGGUGAAAUGCGUAGAUAUCGAGAGGAACACCUGCGGCGAAGGCGGGUUGCUGGGCCGACACUGACGCUGAUGCGCGAAAGCCAGGGGAGCGAACG